rnacentral:rRNA from 1 species
AUGAUGCAUAGCCGAGUUGAGAGACUGAUCGGCCACAUUGGGACUGAGACACGGCCCAAAACUCCUACGGGAGGGCAGCAGUAGGGAAUCUUCCACAAAUGGACGCAAGUCUGAUGGAGCAACGCCGCGUGAGUGAAGAAGGUUUUCAGAUCGUAAAAGCUCUGUUGUUGGUGAAGAAGGAUAGAGGUAGUAACUGGCCUUUAUUUGACGGUAAUCAACCAGAAAGUCACGGCUAACUACGUGCCAGCAGCCGCGGUAAU